GACCGACCUCGGGAGCUUGCACAGGUGCUGCAUGGCUGUCGUCAGCUCGUGUCGUGAGAUGUUGGUUAAGUCCCGCAACGAGCGCAACCCUUGCCUUUAGUUGCCAGCAGUUCGGCUGGGCACUCUAAAGGGACUGCCGGUGUCCAACCGGAGGAAGGUGGGGAUGACGUCAAGUCCUCAUGGCCUUUAUGGCCAGGGCUACACACGUACUACAAUGGCCGGUACAAAGGGCAGCGACAUUGCGAGAUGGAGCGAAUCCCGAAAAGCCGGUCUCAGUCCGGAUUGGAGUCUGCAACUCGACUCCAUGAAGUUGGAAUCGCUAGUAAUCGUGGAUCAGCAUGCCACGGUGAAUACGUUCCCGGGCCUU
rnacentral:rRNA from 1 species